UACGGAGGGUGCAAGCGUUGUUCGGAAUCACUGGGCGUAAAGCGCGUGUAGGCGGCUUCCUAAGUCUGGUGUGAAAUCCCGGGGCUCACCCCCGGAAGUGCACUGGAUACUGGGAAGCUAGAGUACCGGAGAGGAGGGUGGAAUUCCUGGUGUAGCGGUGAAAUGCGUAGAUAUCAGGAGGAACACCUGUGGCGAAGGCGGCCCUCUGGACGGAUACUGACGCUGAGACGCGAAAGCGUGGGGAGCAAACAGG
rnacentral:rRNA from 1 species